CCUACGGGAGGCAGCAGUGAGGAAUAUUGGUCAAUGGGCGAGAGCCUGAACCAGCCAAGUCGCGUGAAGGAUGAAGGCUCUAUGGUUUGUAAACUUCUUUUAUAUGGGAAUAAAGUGAGGAACGUGUUCCUUUUUGUAUGUACCAUAUGAAUAAGCAUCGGCUAACUCCGUGCCAGCAGCCGCGGUAAUACGGAGGAGGCGAGCGUUAUCCGGAUUUAUUGGGUUUAAAGGGUGCGUAGGUGGUUAAUUAAGUCAGGGGUGAAAGUUUGUGGCUCAACCAUAAAAUUGCCGUUGAAACUGGUGGCCGUGAGGAUAGUAGAGGGAGGGGGAAGGCGUGGUGUAGCGGUGAAAUGCGUAGAUAUCACGCAGAACGGCGAUGGCGAGGGCAGCUGGCUAAACUAUAACUGACACUGAAGCACGAAAGCGUGGGGAUCAAACAGGAUUAGAUACCCCUGUAGUC
rnacentral:rRNA from 1 species